GAAAUCCAACAGCCCACCAAAGGAACUAAAGAUAAGACUUCACCCAGGGAAGAGGAGACAGAUGACCAGCUUAAGAAGUCAGCAUUGAAGUCAUCUAGUGAGAACCAAGGAAAAUCAG